GAUCUCGAGACCGAAAUUACGAUUAUCGUUAUUUCUAAAUUGGCACCAAAUUUAUGGAUAUAGUAAUUUCGUGGCACUCUUUACCAAUGCUCUUUACACGUGUUAAAUAAAGAGAAGGACUCGGUUCCACUGUCUUACAACAUUCAAGAUGGCGGAGGAAAGGGGUAAAUGUGCGUUCAGUUGUGAUCAGCAUGAUCUCGACACCAAAAUAACGAUUAUCGUUAUUUCUAAAUUGGCCCUGAAAUAACGAAUAUCAUAAUUUCAGUGCAUGUCUGAGACCUUCGGGCUCGAAGCUUGGGAACUAGUAUUCAGGGAAAGAUAAAAUGGCGGCUUACGGCGGCGAAGGAAAUCUCAGUAGUUUAAUAUUUUAGCGUGAAAAGGCUUGGGUGUUGUGAUCUGGUUCUCAAGUGAAAAAAAAAAAUCACGGUCUGCAAUGGCCCUACCACCUUUUGAACAACAAGAAAACAUUGAAACGGUGGUAAAAAGCAGCAAGUUUCGAAGUCUAAACGAAAGAUGGGUGGUCAUUAUCCAUUACUUUUGGAAGUCGAUGCUGAUGAGAAAGAAAAUGUUUAUGAUUAUUUCUUCUCUCGAACAUUUUACUCUUUAGGUACCAAAUAAUCUUGAUACUGAAGAUCAUUGCAUCCAUUAUGAAAAAAUUACCCUUGAUUGCUUUGUCAACUGGAAUGUAUAAUGUAAUAUACCUUGUGAUUUGUGGGAUUUUCACAAGUAAACUAGAAAUACUUGAAGAGAGUAAUGAUGUACUUAAUGCAGAGCAUUUGGUACAAAGUCUGCUUUGCUGUAAUCUACCUGAAGGUGCUUUUUAUAUGCUAGUAAGACUUGCACAGCCCAGUCAAAAUGUUUUUGAGUAGUAGAAAAGCUGGCCAAACCUCUUCCUGAAAAGCAGUCUGAAAAAUUUGAAGUUAGCGGAAGGUACUUCAUUGUAGGCGGCCAAAUUGUAAGCUGCCAGCCCAUUUUGAGUGAGCAGUAAAACUCAAGAUUGGCUAUUUUAGCUAAUUUUAUUGAGAACCAAAUUCCCAGCAACGGGCACAAUUUUACUGGGCUAUUUGUUAUUUAACUACUUAGUAAUAUUCUUAUUAAAAUUUACUGCAUUCCUUUCUAAUAAUUUGCUGCUGAUUGUAUGCUGUAUAUAGCUUAUGAUUUGUGUGAUUUUCACAAGUAAAUUAGAAAUACCUGAAGAUAGUAAUGAUGUACUAGAUAAUGUACUUGAUGCAAAGCUAUUUUGGUGCAAAGUGUGUGCCUUGUCCGUAGGUGAUUUUGCAUGCUAAUAAGACUUGUAAUUCAAAUAAUACACAUCAGCUGGAGUGGGAAUAUUAAAAGAAAAAUAAUAAUAUUUAGCUAUACCAAGUUCUGGUUUUAUGUCCAAAGUGUGUGCCUUGUCCGUAGGUGAUUUUGCAUGCUAAUAAGACUUGUAAUUCAAAUAAUACACAUCAGCUGGAGUGGGAAUAUUAAAAGAAAAAUAAUAAUAUUUA